UACGUAGGGUGCGAGCGUUGUCCGGAAUUACUGGGCGUAAAGAGCUCGUAGGUGGUUUGUCGCGUUGUUCGUGAAAACUCACAGCUUAACUGUGGGCGUGCGGGUCGAGUACGGCAGACUUGAGUACUGCAGGGGAGACUGGAAUUCCUGGUGUAGCGGUGGAAUGCGCAGAUAUCAGGAGGAACACCGGUGGCGAAGGCGGGUCUCUGGGCAGUAACUGACGCUGAGGAGCGAAAGCGUGGGGAGCGAACAGG
rnacentral:rRNA from 1 species